CACUCCCUGCAGGAGCUAGUUUGCCUGAGGCAGGUGCAGUCCCUGUGGGAGAUGGCUUGCCUGAGGCAGGUGCAGUCCCUGUGGGAGAUG
rnacentral:tRNA from 1 species